rnacentral:rRNA from 1 species
UACGUAGGGUGCGAGCGUUGUCCGGAAUUAUUGGGCGUAAAGGGCUCGUAGGCGGUUUGUCGCGUCGGGAGUGAAAUCCACUGGCUUAACUGGUGGCUUGCUUUCGAUACGGGCAGACUGGAGGUAUGCAGGGGAGAACGGAAUUCCUGGUGUAGCGGUGAAAUGCGCAGAUAUCAGGAGGAAUACCGGUGGCGAAGGCGGCAUCCUGGACCGACAUUGACGCUGAUGAGCGAAAGCUAGGGGAGCAAACGGG